GUGGUCGUGGCUCAGUGGUAGAGCGCUUGCCUAGUAUGUACAAGGGUUCCAUCCUCGGCACCAUAUAAAAAUGAAUAAAAUAAAAGUAUAAAAAAAGAUCUAUACUCUAGUGACUCGGGAAGCUGAGGCAAGAGGAUCGUGAGUUCAAAGCCAGCCUCAUCAACUAAG
rnacentral:tRNA from 1 species